rnacentral:misc_RNA from 1 species
GAUGAAGAACGCAGCGAAAUGCGAUAAGUAAUGUGAAUUGCAGAAUUCAGUGAAUCAUCGAAUCUUUGAACACACAUUGCGCCCCCUGGUAUUCCGGGGGGCAUGCCUGUCCGAGCGUCAUUACAACCCUCAAGCUCAGCUUGGUGUUGGGCCCCGCCGCCCCGGCGGGCCCUAAAGUCAGUGGCGGUGCCGUCCGGCUCCGAGCGUAGUAAUUCUUCUCGCUCUGGAGGUCCGGUCGUGUGCUCGCCAGCAACCCCCAAUUUUUUUCAGGUUGACCUCGGAUCAGGUAGGGAUACCCGCUGAACUUAAGCAUAUCAAUAAGCGGAGGA